UACAUAAAUUAGUAAAAUUAACAUUUGAUAAUUUUCUAAGAAAUAGUUGAACAGUGAACACGUAUAGGUAAACUUCUAGUUUUUAAAUCUUACAUUUCUAGAUUCCUGUAACGGUAAAAUAUAUUGUCAAGUUACUAUUAAAUUUAAUAAACCGAAGAAACUAUAUUGGAUAUUCAACUCUCUUCCCUCACUGCGGCACCGAAUAUUGGAAAAGAAACAGUGAACUGAAUCGAUAUGCGCAAAUGUUGCUUACUACAAAACAACACCCUUUUUGUCGAUCCCAAACCACGAUUUUGGACCAAUUUCAACACACAUAAGAAUAGUUUUUAAUCUUUUUACAUGCUAUCGUCAUUUCCACUGUAUGACUUUUAUGGCGAAGAGGUCCCCGAAAAUCUCUUAACACAUGAAUCGAAAACCCGUUACGUUAAAUGUGGUCGUUAGCACACUAUCAUGUGUGACAGAUGAAAAGGGGACGAAGGUGAUGUUUGAUGGGUCAGAUAAACCACGACUGGCAUAGCACACAUCACAAAGGUCCAUUUGAAUAAACGGAACAUCAGUCAGCCAGAGCGUAUGAUUCAAUUUGAGUUCCCUUAUAUUAUAUACACACGUACGCGCGUACACACAUCUACAACCCUCGUCACACCGCGCACCCCAAAUCCGGAUUUAUGGAUGCUGGGGUGGCUCGCCACCGCCACCACCACCGCCGCCGUGCAAAAGGAGUAAUUGAUACUGAUUUACGACUGAAGCCGAAUCGGAUUGACUACAUAAGUCAUAUAGCCCGGAAUAAUGUCAUCAUCAUAGUCAUCGACAUGACUAACAAAUUUUAGCACUCAAGUAUCGAGGAUUAAAUACAUCAUAAUACAAUACGAUGCGAUGUAAAAACGUGUGUAGUGUUUACGAGUAUUUGUAAAAUAACGGAUACUAUUGGAUUAAUAUGAAGAUAAAAAAAAUAAAAAUCAAGAAGACUACGUAACACUUGCGUGUUUUGUUAAUUCUGUCUUAUAAACGUACAACGUGGCAAAUUUAUGUUCAGAAAAAUUGAAGCUUUAAUAAUAGGUCAAUAUCAAAUUUAAAGGUAAAUAAAGUUUCGCAUUCUGAAACCGUGGCCAUUUACAGCAAUAUGAUGCGGGUAUUCGUGCGGCACAAUUCAGAAUCGGAAUACAGAGGCCAAGGGUCGAAUUAUGACGUGUCAGUGACGAAAAACGGAAUACGUCCAAUCGUACGACGAAUGGACAUUACAGGGGCAAUUCGUAUAUAGAAACUAUAAAUUAUGAACGUUCAAAAACCCGCCGUAAGGGUGAAAUAUUUCGAGUACUUGGGUCACCCGCUCUAACACAAAACGAAAUUCGACAUAAGAAUUCGAAAAGCCGACGAGUGUCACUUCGGGCUCGGGUAAAUGCUUAAAAAAAACUUAAUUUAUCAUACUUUGCCAUUAUAAAAACUAUUUACAGCUUCGCUGUGCAUAAUAUUAUACUAUACCUAAUAUAACUAUAAAUGUCUGUGUGUAUAAUAUCAUUAUACGGGUACAAAGAGAGAAUGGAUGAGAAAGCAACUAUUAUUGUUGUUUAUUGUAUAUUAUACGCUAUACUAUAUGACGUCGUGACCUGUGCACGUUGAUAAUACAUUUUUAGAUCUCAAUCGGUUAACGGAACAUUUUAUCACUGUCGUAUUGUUUCGACGACGACAAAAGUCUUCUACGACUGUACUAUUCGACGAUACAAUAUUUCGUUUGCCCUUACAUGUGAUGGAAUUACGAUGUAACAUCAUUGGCGAGCGGCGCGUAUUAAAUUACCGCGGCUGUUACCCCUCGGUGGAACUCGGUGUAAUAAUGCAAUAAAAUCAUGAUUGGUACACGCGGAGACUGGAGAGACGAUCGGGCGGACGUCACUUAAAUUCGUAACGAUUGAAAUGACUCGACAGACUUAACGUUAUUUGUAA